rnacentral:lncRNA from 1 species
CGGUCUCACAGGGCCCUCUCUGGAUGAAAAUGACAGCAGGUAUGCCGCUCGUCUUCGCCCGUCUGUUCUCCGCUUUGAGUCUACAGAUGCUGGGGGUGUGUGAAUUGUGCUGACUCCAGACUUGAUGUGGAUGUUUUAUACUUCAAAAGAACUACACAUGAAUACUGACAAUCUCGCCAGAAAACUCGCCAGCAUCCUGUCCAUUAACACCUAAGAUAUACAG